UACGUAGGUGGCAAGCGUUGUCCGGAUUUAUUGGGUUUAAAGGGUGCGUAGGCGGUUUUCUAAGUCAGCAGUGAAAUACGGCAGCUCAACUGUCGAGGUGCUGUUGAUACUGGGGAACUUGAGUACUGAUGAGGUAGGCGGAAUGGACGGUGUAGCGGUGAAAUUCGUAGAUAUUCGCAAGAACACCAGUGGCGAAGGCGGCUCACUGGCCCGGUACUGACGCUGAGGUGCGAAAGCGUGGGGAGCAAACAGG
rnacentral:rRNA from 1 species